GGAACUUCGUAUAUGCAAAAACCGACUUGUUCGUCCUUUUUUCCGGGUCAGAUGGAUGAAGGAAAGCGAGAAGAAAUGUGAGAAAACGGAUUAAUGAAAACAACAACAAAAGCACAAAACAGUUUGUCCAUGCGAUGAAUAUGUUUUUUUAUAUAUUCGAAUUCGAAUUGAGCAAUUCUUUGAAAGAAAUUGGAACAAUGGGCGACACAGUUGAAGGGACACACCAAUCGAACAUCACUCAUAUUUUUGGGCAACAGCGACAACAACAUGUGCUUUAGAAGGAUGACCGCUCGGCACCCGUAUUCGAAAUUGUGGGUUCGUCGCAUUUGUUUCUAUACACACACACAAACACAUACAGAAAAGAAGAUAUUCAGACCAUAACAUUGAAUCCGGCUCGCCACGAUCGAAAUGCCAAAGCGGCACGCCAUGGUGUGCGCGAAUGGAGCCCCGUUUCAAGUGCCCAAUCAUCGGGCCCGAUGUGUGCAAGCCAUAUUACUGA